UGGGGAAUCUUGCGCAAUGGGCGAAAGCCUGACGCAGCGACGCCGCGUGGGGGAUGAAGGCCCUCGGGUUGUAAACCCCUUUCGGCAGGGACGAAGCCGCAAGGUGACGGUACCUGCAGAAGAAGCUCCGGCUAACUACGUGCCAGCAGCCGCGGUAAGACGUAGGGAGCGAGCGUUGUCCGGAUUCAUUGGGCGUAAAGAGCGCGUAGGCGGCCGUGCAAGUCGGUUGUGAAAUCCCGGGGCUCAACCCCGGGACUGCGUCCGAUACUGCACGGCUCGAGGCAGGUAGGGGAGAGUGGAAUUCCCGGUGUAGCGGUGAAAUGCGCAGAUAUCGGGAGGAACACCGGUGGCGAAGGCGGCUCUCUGGACCUGUCCUGACGCUGAGGCGCGAAAGCUAGGGGAGCGAACAG
rnacentral:rRNA from 1 species